rnacentral:lncRNA from 1 species
UUGACAUAACAUGGUGUAGAACAUUUAAAAAUUCAAUCUUUACAAUGUAACUAACUCCCUUUAUAUCCUUGCGACACAAUUGUAAAGGUCACCUAAUAAAAAUGAGACAAAGUUGCUACAGGGGAAUAAUUUAGUAACAACUUUUUCCAGCAGAAACAUAAUUUUGCAUGACUUAAAAUCAAUAUCUCAUCAACCGAUAUAGUUACAAGAAAUUAUAUGAAAUGACACAGCAGCGAUCAGGUAUAUUUCGAAGUUCCAUAACCUCACAUCAGACCGUGAAAGUGUCACCAUCAGCACUGGGUUAGAUUGUGUACAGAAUCACUAGAAUAGGGCCGACUUUCGGAAUUUUCAAACGAGUAAAUGGUGUUAAUGCUCGCAAUGAGAUCUUGCCCCUGAAAACAAAAUUCAGUGUGAAGUUCACCCAACCUGGUCAAAUAAAAACUUUCCAUCCUAAGUCUGUACAUCUCCUGUUAUCAGUCUGGUCAAACAAAAUUCAACGAAAUCGACAAAGCCAGAAGCACAAGGUUCAGAACAAAACAAAAAAGUCUCGAGCAGAUCACAGAAUUAAAAUUCAAACAACUGAAAACUUCCAAAGUGAAGCAAAGCACAUUUGAAACUAACUACAAUACGGCAGGACUUCUAAAAUUCUUAGAAUGUGUUAAAAGCUCGGGAUGAAAUAUUUCCCUGGAAACAAAAUUCAGUAAAAACUUGACAAAUCUGAUAUAAUACAACUUUCCAUCCAUACGGCAAUCUGUAGUCGGUACAUCUCCAAGUCAUGUGAGUACCAAUGUUUGUAAAAUGUCGAUGUACAAUCUGAGUGUGGAGAACCAAUGUUGCAAUAAAUUAAUCUAGAACCAAAAUAACACCCCCAGCCCAUGACACUAGGGAACAAUAACAACAAUCAGUGCCCGUGACACUCGGUUUUGCACAAAUCAACUGUCAGUGGAUCAAGAAACUGCAAAAUUUACAUUUACGUUGCUACAACAGCAGAAUCAUUUUGCAGAGAUUAGGAGAACCAUCUAGUAACCAUCAAACUGCAGCAGAAAAUCAGCAAAAUGAAUCAUCAGCCUACUGUCGGUGGAUCAUCAGUCUAAAAUCUUACUGCAGAUUAUUAUUACUACUACUAUAAGGAGCACAACUGUAUGGCAGAGAUUAGUAACAACUAACAACUAUAUAUCACAACAAAAAUAAUUUCAGUACUUUCGAAGUCUCGGUUUACAAGAAGAAUCACAAAUUCAGUUCUUACAACCAAAGAGCCAAGCGAUAACUGGACAACUUCCAUCCAGCACUAGUACUACAAUGACUUGCAGAUAACUAGAGUCAACAACCACCAAAGUAACUAAACCUAAGAGGAUGUGAAGCUGUAUUGCUGCUUUCAAAAUCUCAGGUUGAAAGAGCAGCACAAACUCAGUGACCACCAAUGAGCCAACAAAGCAUUGGCAAACCAGGUUAAUGAUCAUCACAACAGCAAUGCUCAGUGACAACACGCAAUUAAACGGGGCCAUUGAACAAUCUGGUGGGUACUGCACCUAACUUAGAAGUAUACCCUUGUGGGCGGAUCAAUCACCUAUCUAGAAUCUGUGUGUAUUACUAAAAGGAACAAUCGCAUGGCAGAGAUUAUAGUGAUAAUUACAACACAGCAGAAAUAAAUCAUUAUUUUCAAAGUCCCAGUUUACCAAAAAAGCAUCAGAAAUUCAGUUCUGGAAUCAUUCAGCAACUUCCAUCCAUCACUAAAAGCAUCACGAACAGACUGAACCAGACUAAACAGACUCAGGCAGCGGCAAUCUAAGACGAAGUGAACUUGGUGACGGCCCUGGUACCCUCGGACAUGGCGUGAGCUCGCUGGGGAAGACGAGGCGGCAGCCAUGGCCGGGCGGAUGGAACAAACCUAGACGACCAGGGGAAAGAGGUGAUGAGAAAAUAGGCAGUUUUCCGAUUAAAUUAAUCCAUGAAUAAAUCAUGAGCAUGACAUGGACAGCAUUGAUAACAUACUGAUUAUGAUCUAACAGAGCAUGUACUACGCAUAUAGUAGAGACAUCUACGCAUACCGCUAGUACUGCUACAACAGAAAGAAACACGAGAGGGAUAAGCGAUGUAUACCCUCCAAUCGGCCACGCGGUGGCGGUGGCGGUGACAGCAGCCGCGGCAUCCUCGGCGGCCUUCUUGUCGGCCUCGGCUUUCUCAGCAGCGGCACGGUCGGUGUCGGUCGACAUGGUGAUGAUGAAGGUGAUGCGGACGUAGAUGAACAGAAGCGAGCAGUCGCGUAGUCGCUACCCAAAAACCUAAUCGCCCCUCUCCCCGUACAGGAUCCGGAGAGGCGUGGUUUCGGAGGCCUGCUCUCCCGUCAACCGUGUACGCGGUGAACGGGACGGAGUCGCCGGCGGCAGCAGCAGCAGAGGAACGACGUGGGCGUGGAGGCGGAGAUGCGUUCUGUUUUCGUGACGGCUAGGGUUGGCAGCGCCCCACAUAUAUAUGUGCGGCCGCGCGUGGAGAGACGUGGGCUGAACCCACGUCCAAGUCGGUAGCCCACGAUCCGACGUCUCAGAUCGUGGCCCCACCUGUCAAAGACUCUCCGUUCCUGACCGGCAAAAAGAAGCGCAUAGGAGUGAGCUCGGCUCGGCUCAAUCCCGCAACCCGCGGCGCGUCGUGACGAGGCGUGGCGUGGCGUGGCGAGGCGAGCGGAGGAGGAGGAGUGCGCGAGGGCCUCAUCUCUUCUCAAGCUCCAAUAGCAUGAGGGAGAGAGUCCCUUAUAAACCACUCCAACUCUCCUUCCACUUCCAAGGUGGGACUAAACUUCCCACACACCUAGUGCCAUAUAACCCACAUGGGCCCUUAGAGAUUUUCAGAAAUUGCAAUAUGGGCCUAGAGCCCGUCUCAGAUUUCAGCAAUCCCCCACCAGAUCUCGAGGGCCCAUAGUGUCCUCUGUUCCAAAGACUGUUUUGAUAUACUAGUGUUUCAGUGAAGACCUGUUAAGGUUGAGCUACACCUAGAGCAAGUAGCUACAUUCCUUCACAACUGAACAAUGGACUAUGCCUUGAAUUGUCAGUUUGGCGUAAAGAAGUUUCACCACAUGUCUUACUAGUACUGGGCUGCCGAAGGCUGACCCCUCGGGUGGAGCAUAUAAGUCACACUCCUGGCCUAUUCAUGAGUUUACUAGAGAUCACCCCAAUCUCAUAGACUGUGACUAGCAGUCGGGCUCACAUAGGUGUGUUCCUCCAAAGAUCGCUCUGUAGGAUAGCAUCUUGCUUAUACAUAUAAGCCUUGGAGCACAUUAAGACAAUAGUCAUCCUUCCGUACAGUUUCCGAGAGUAUUGCAUCUCCAACGGAGUGGGUUAGUAAAGUUACUCUCCUCAGUUCACCACUGGCUUGUUUCCCCAGGUCCUACUUCACGGGAUCUCCGAUCACAUAGGUUGGGUUACCACCAUGGUAACUCAUGUGGGUCUCAUACCCAUCUCCCUCGAUGCACUAUCUAUCACUACACGUGAUAGCCCUUUCGUAAAGGGAUCUGCCAGAUUCUUAGCCGUAUGGACAUAGUCCAACGCUAUCACUCCGGAGUUUCUUAAUUUUCUGACAUCUUUUAAUCUCAUUCUUAUGUGUUUGGUGGACUUCAUGUUGUCCUUUGAACUCUUCACCUUGGUGAUGACAGUCUGAUUGUCACAGUUCAUAAGGAUAGCCGGAACCGGUUUAUCAACCAAUGGCAAGUCCAUCAAAAGAUCUCGAAGCCAUCUCGCUUCAACACCAGAUGUGUCUAAUGCCGUUAAUUCUGCUUCCAUUGUCGAUCUCGUUAAGAUCGUUUGCUUGCAAGACUUCCAGGAAACAGCGCCACCUCCAAGAGUAAACAUAUACCCAGUUGUGGCCUUCAUCUCAUCAGCAUCAGAGAUCCAAUUCGCAUCACUAUACCCUUCAAGUACCGACGGGUAUCCGGUAUAGUGAAGUCCAUAGUUCAUAGUACCUUUCAGAUAGCGCAUAACUCUCUCAACAGCAUGCCAAUGUACAUCGCCCGGUUUGGAAACAAACCGGCUCAGUUUGCUCACAGCAAACGCGAUGUCAGGCCUCGUUGCGCUCGCUAGGUACAUCAGUGAACCAAUGAUUUGAGAGUAUCUCAAUUGAUCUUUAGCCAUGCCUUUGGACUUUCGAAUCAAUACGCUAGGAUCAUAUGGUGUUUGAGAUGGUGUGCAGUCCGAAUAUCCAAAACGACUCAACACCUUCUCAACGUAAUGGGAUUGCAGAAGUGUGAUCCCACCCUCAUUAUCUCUCAGUAGCUUGAUGUUCAAGAUAACAUCAGCCACACCAAGGUCUUUCAUCUCAAAGUUCUGAGAUAGAAACGAUUUGACCUCCUCAAUGACUUUGAGGUUUGUUCCGAAUAUCAGUAUGUCAUCAACAUACAAGCACAGUAUAACUCCUUCGCCCCCACCAUGGUGAUAGUAUACACAUUUGUCAGCCUCAUUAACAACGAAACCAACAGAUGUCAGAGUUGUAUUAAACUUAUCAUGACAUUGCUUAGGUGCUUGUUUCAGGCCAUAUAAAGAUUUUAUCAACCUACACACCUUUCUUUCCUGACCAUCUAUCACAAAGCCAUCAGGCUGUUGCAUGUAGAUUUCCUCCUUUAGCUCUCCAUUUAGAAAAGCCGUCUUAACAUCCAUCUGAUGGACGAGAAGACCAUGUGAGGCCGCCAACGAGAGUAAUACUCGAAUGGUGGUCAGUCUAGCCACAGGUGAAUAAGUAUCAAAGAAAUCUUCCUCUUCUUGCUGGUCAUAGCCCUUGGCCACAAGCCUAGCCUUGUACUUUUCAAUCGUACCAUCGGGCCUAAGCUUCUUUUUGAACACCCACUUACAUCCCAGUGGUUUGCAACCAUAGGGACGGUCAGUGAUCUCCCAUGUCCCGUUAGCCAUGAUGGAAUCCAUCUCGCUACGGACCGCAUCCUUCCAGUAGUCAGCUUCUGGAGAGGCAUACGCUUCUGAAAUAGAAGUGGGAGUAUCAUCCACGAGGUACACGAAGAAAUCAUCACCAAAGGUCUUUGCAGUCCUUUGUCUCUUGCCCCUACCAAGGGUUUCCUCGUCAUCCUCCUCGGGAUUUUCAUCAUGUGUUUGUUCAUAAUAUUCCAUAGGGAUGGCAGGCUCAGGAGUCUCCUCAGAUUCCUGUCUAGAAGUGCUUUGCAUAUCUCUCAUAGGAAAAAUAUCCUCAAAGAAUGUAGCAUCCUUAGACUCCAUAAUUGUACCGAUCUUCUGGUCAGGUACCUCAGAUUUCACUACUAGAAAUCUAUAGCCAACGCUGUUCUUAGCGUAGCCCAAAUUAAUGCAGUCCACGAUCUUAUGUCCAAGCUUACGCUUUUUGGGGAUCGGCACGUUGACUUUCACCAAACAGCCCCAAGUGCGCAAGUACGAGAGUGUCGUCCUUCUCUUUGCCCAUUUCUCAUAGGGAGUGAUCUCACUAUCCUUUGUCGGAACUUUAUUCAGGACAUGACAUGCCGUCAAUAUAGCCUCCCCCCACCAUGCCUUGGAUAAACCCGAUGUAUCUAACAUGGCGUUAACCAAAUCAGUUAGAGUACGGUUUUUCCGCUCGGCAACCCCGUUUGACUGGGGUGAAUAGGGAGGCGUCCUCUCAUGAAUAAUGCCGUGUUCCGCACAGAAGGAAUCAAACUCACUCGAGAAGUACUCUCCACCACGAUCUGACCGGACUCGUUUAAUUUUCUUUUCAAGUUGAUUUUCAACUUCUGCCUUAUAGAUUUUAAAGUAGUGUAGAGCCUCAUCUUUAGUAUUUAACAGAUACACAUAGCAAUAUCUAGUGGAAUCAUCUAUCAAUGUCAUGAAGUAUCUCUUUCCACCUUUAGUCAACACACCAUUCAUCUCGCAAAGAUCAGAAUGUAUGAGUUCUAAUGGUGCCAGGUGUCUCUCCUCCGCGGCCUUAUGAGGCUUGCGAGGUUGCUUAGCUUGCACACAUGAAAGGCACUUAGAACCUUUGGCUAAAGUGAAACUCGGGAUCAAAUCCAACUUGGCUAGCCGCGUCAUAACACCGAAACUUAUGUGACAAAGACGUGAGUGCCAAACCUCAGAUUCAUUAAUACUCGAAUGAAUAUGGUUCACGACUUUAUUACAGAAAUCUGCGAGGGAAAGGCGGAACAUCCCUCCGCUCUCAUAACCUUUUCCAACAAAUAGUCCAUACUUAGUAACAACUAAUUUAUUAGACUCGAAUACCAACUUAAACCCUUCUCUACAUAGAAGGGAGCCACUAACGAGGUUCUUCUUGAUGGCGGGGACAUGCUGCACGUUCUUCAGCUGCACGAUCCUUCCCGAAGUAAACUUCAGAUCGACCGUGCCAACACCAUGAACAGAAGCACUCGCGCCAUUCCCCAUCAAUACGGACCCGUGGCCUGUGACCUGGUAAGAAGAGAACAAUGAAAUGUCAGCACACACAUGAACAACUGCACCUGUAUCCACCCACCAAUCGGUAGGCUGAAACACUGAAAAAACAGUAAAUAAAUUACCGUACCCAGAUGCACCAUUCUCAUUGUUGCUCACAAUCAUGUUGACAGACUUGGAGUCCUGUCCUGACUUCUUAAACUUGUUUGGGCACUUGUUGGCCCAAUGUUCAGCCGAACCACAAGUAAAGCAGCCCUCAUCCUUCUUGUUCUUCUUGAAGGUCUUCUUACCCUUCUUCUUAAAGUCGGCAGUCUGUUGGACACCGUUCUUUCCCCUGGGCUUGUGGGAAUUGGAGUUCUUCUGAUGCACCAUAUUGGCCACAGAAGUUCCUUCGACCCCUUUUCCGUGCGAGUCCUUUGCCCUUGAGUUCUGCUCAACACUCAGAUGGCCAAUGACAUCCUCCACAGAGAAUUCACGCCUCUGAUGUUUCAGAGUGGUGGCAAAGUUCCUCCAGGAAUUGGGGAGCUUAGCGAUUAUGCAGCCCGCGACAAAUUUGCCCGGUAACUCGCACUUAGGAAGCUCAAGCUCCUUAACAAUGCAUAUUAUCUCAUGAGCCUGCUCCAAUACAGGACGGUUUUCAACCAUCUUGUAAUCGUGGAACUGCUCUAUAAUAUACAUCUCGCUCCCUGCAUCGGCAGCCCCGAACUUAGAUUCGAGCGCCUCCCACAAGUCCUUGGCAGACCGCAUAUGUAAAUAUGCAUCAACCAGCUUAUCUCCAAUCACGCUCAGAACUGCCCCGAGGAACACCACGGUGGCCUCCUUAAACGCCUUCUCCUGUUCAGGAGCGAUCGUUCCUGUAGGAGUCACACCGGCGACCCAGAACACGUUCAUGGCCGUGAGCCAUAAGGUGGUUUUAGUCUGCCAACGCUUAAAGUACGUCCCCGUAAACGGGGACGGUUUCAGUGCAGCAGCAAAACCAGAAUUCGAAAAACUCCUACAGAUAUUAGGUUUUUGGAUUGAUGAGAAAAUAGGCAGUUUUCCGAUUAAAUUAAUCCAUGAAUAAAUCAUGAGCAUGACAUGGACAGCAUUGAUAACAUACUGAUUAUGAUCUAACAGAGCAUGUACUACGCAUAUAGUAGAGACAUCUACGCAUACCGCUAGUACUGCUACAACAGAAAGAAACACGAGAGGGAUAAGCGAUGUAUACCCUCCAAUCGGCCACGCGGUGGCGGUGGCGGUGACAACAGCCGCGGCAUCCUCGGCGGCCUUCUUGUCGGCCUCGGCUUUCUCAGCAGCGGCACGGUCGGUGUCGGUCGACAUGGUGAUGAUGAAGGUGAUGCGGACGUAGAUGAACAGAAGCGAGCAGUCGCGUAGUCGCUACCCAAAAACCUAAUCGCCCCUCUCCCCGUACAGGAUCCGGAGAGGCGUGGUUUCGGAGGCCUGCUCUCCCGUCAACCGUGUACGCGGUGAACGGGACGGAGUCGCCGGCGGCAGCAGCAGCAGAGGAACGACGUGGGCGUGGAGGCGGAGAUGCGUUCUGUUUCGUGACGGCUAGGGUUGGCAGCGCCCCACAUAUAUAUGUGCGGCCGCGCGUGGAGAGACGUGGGCUGAACCCACGUCCAAGUCGGUAGCCCACGAUCCGACGUCUCAGAUCGUGGCCCCACCUGUCAAAGACUCUCCGUACCUGACCGGCAAAAAGAAGCGCAUAGGAGUGAGCUCGGCUCGGCUCAAUCCCGCAACCCGCGGCGCGUCGUGGCGAGGCGUGGCGUGGCGAGGCGAGCGGAGGAGGAGGAGUGCGCGAGGGCCUCAUCUCUUCUCAAGCUCCAAUAGCAUGAGGGAGAGAGUCCCUUAUAAACCACUCCAACUCUCCUUCCACUUCCAAGGUGGGACUAAACUUCCCACACACCUAGUGCCAUAUAACCCACAUGGGCCCUUAGAGAUUUUUCAGAAAUUGCAAUAUGGGCCUAGAGCCCAUCUCAGAUUUCAGCAAGAGGGGGAGACGAGACGAGGGCUUACCACCGGGAAGAAGCCCAGUAUGGCGGAGUAGGUACGCCGGCGUCGAGGAGUUGGUCGACGGCGCGUUGAAGAGGGGUCGAGCGGCGGCGAGGUGUCGUUUCCUCCCCAAAUCCGCGCGUCCCCCCUGGAGGGCUCUGAACCGCGUGGAAAGAAGAGUAUAGGAGGGGGUCGGAGGGGGUUGGGCCGCCGAAACCCCAUGUACCAAAUAGGCCCACGAGGUUUUGCGGGGUUUCUGGGCCACGCGAGGAAAUUCCCUUCAAAAACCCCUCGAUCCUCUCCUACCAAACGAGGCCAGGGAGCGUCGUUCCCCUUCCCCUAUUUAAGAAGGUGGGCACACGGAUUUUGUUCAAGACGGCGCCUGCGCCAGUGGUGGGUGGGCCCAUGAGACUUUGGGCCUUCCCGUCCAAAGAAGCAGCGACACUACCGAGGAUGCAUGAGAAGGAAUCUACUUCAUUAAAGAUCAAGGUGGCCGGACAUGCAAAGGAAGGAGCCCGACAGAGGCCUCGGAGCCCGGAUGCCUGCAGCCUCUGCCAAGCUUGGGAGCUACUGAUGGGGUCCUGUACCUGGGGUACCUGACGUAAGGGAGCCCGGCCUCAAGAUCCACAACACAACAUAUCCAUGGGGAUUAAAACCUAUACAUGUAACGAGGCUUCAUCUCAGAGCAACUCACCCGAGCCCCAUGCCGCUCCCCCGCGGGGCGGCCCGGGCGCUAAACCUAG